rnacentral:rRNA from 1 species
AUGCUUGUAGAUCAUGAAAAUAAUGCUUUAGGUGCUGGUUAUAUUGUUGAAUUCAUUCAUGAUUCUACUGAAAAUUAUUAUGAGGAAGGAACAUAUGCUUGUAGGAAUUGCAAUAAUACCAAGUUUCCUCUCUAUGUGCUUAAAAUCUUGAAGUUAUGCUUGUUUUGCCCUCCUAUGCUAGUUGAUUAUUGUUACCAUAAGUUGUUUGCUCACAAAAUCCCUAUGCAUAGGAAGUGGGUUAGACUUAAAUGUGCUAGUUAUAUUCUUCAUGAUGCUCUCUUUAUGUUUCAAUUCUUAUCCUUUAUGUCAGCAUCAUUGAAAUCAUCAUGCCUAGCUAGGGGCGUUAAACGAUAG